rnacentral:rRNA from 2 species
AAACUAACAAGGAUUCCCCUAGUAACGGCGAGUGAAGCGGGAAGAGCUCAAAUUUGAAAUCUGGUAGCCUUCGGUUGCCCGAGUUGUAAUCUAGAGAAGUGUUUUCCGCGUUGGCCCAUGUACAAGUCCCUUGGAACAGGGCGUCAUAGAGGGUGAGAAUCCCGUCCUUGACAUGGACCCCCAAUGCUUUGUGAUACACUUUCAACGAGUCGAGUUGUUUGGGAAUGCAGCUCAAAAUGGGUGGUGAAUUCCAUCUAAAGCUAAAUAUUGGCGAGAGACCGAUAGCGAACAAGUACCGUGAGGGAAAGAUGAAAAGCACUUUGGAAAGAGAGUUAAACAGUACGUGAAAUUGUUGAAAGGGAAACGAUUGAAGUCAGUCAUGCUCUUUGGAUUAAGCCGUUCUGCGGUGUAUUUCAUUGAGCGGGGUCAACAUCAGUUUUGAUCGCUGGAAAAGGGCAGGAGGAAGGUAGCACUCUCGGGUGAACUUAUAGCCUCUUGUCGUAUACAGUGAUUGGGACUGAGGAACGCAGCAUGCCUUUUGGCCGGGAUUCGUCCACGUACAUGCUUAGGAUGUUGACAUAAUGGCUUUAAACGAC